GACAGAGGGUGCAAACGUUGCUCGGAAUUACUGGGCGUAAAGCGCGUGUAGGCGGACCGGUAAGUCAGAUGUGAAAGCCCUGGGCUCAACCUAGGAACUGCAUUUGAAACUGCCGGUCUAGAGUGGUGGAGAGGGAAGUGGAAUUCCUGGUGUAGAGGUGAAAUUCGUAGAUAUCAGGAGGAACACCGGUGGCGAAGGCGGCUUCCUGGACACUAACUGACGCUGAGACGCGAAAGCGUGGGGAGCAAACAGG
rnacentral:rRNA from 1 species